CAGUAAGAAAUAUGCCCUAAGAAUGCAUCAGGAUUCAGAACAAAUAAAUCUGUGUAAAGAGACUAUAUCAACAGGAAACUUUUGUUAGCUGAAAAAUUGGGAAGGAUGAUUUCAUAACUCUCCUGGGUUACAAAGCACAGUAGGUAAAUCAAUGAUAUGGUAGCAAAGACUCUAGUUUCUUAUUAUGGUGUGCUUUCAGCUCAAAGAAAAGAAAGAUAUUUCAUUCAGUAUAAUAGCAUGUAUGCCACAUAGCCAUUGGUUAAUAAGGUCAAAGAAAGUAUCAGUAUAUAGAACUCUCCAGGUUAGCCUUCCACCAGCAGCCUAAAGGUGAAUCAAAUUGUGUUGGUUUCUCCCCAGAGGUGGUGCUAACCUGUGGACAUAAGGACAGCUGCAACCAGAGUUAGACUGUGCAGCUCCCAGCUCGGCUCCACCCUGCUCCAAGAGGAUUAAGGAUGGAAAAAGCCUGAAGGGCACAGAACUCAACAACACUCGAUAAUAAAACUUUCCUAGAGUGAAUAACAUGGAAAAGAGGCCCAGUCAUGGGCCCUAGGCAUUGAGCUUGGAGUUAAGACAGCAUUGUAAGUUCUCAUCACUACCUUUCUGUUAUGAACUAACCAGAAUUUUCCUGGUAAGAGUCUUGUUGGGUUACCACACAAGACUCUUUACUAGGAAAAUUAUGGCUUCUUAAUGGACCUAAAAAGUGAAUGAGCAUGUUGUGUUCUCCUCUGCAAAGAUCUCACUGGGCUAGGGUUGUAAGGAGGCUAGAGCUGGGAGACCAGAAUAGGGCAGUCAGGACCUCUGAGUGGCUGGGACCUUUGGAGACACAGCUUAUUCCUCUUGCCUGGAGAGUGGCUCUCUUUGCCUUGUCUCUUGUGGUACCUCAACCAAUAUCUCUUGAGUAUUUCCCAUCCCAAACCACAUCAAUACACUGACAGGUCCAUAGGUGACAAAGAGAUCCCAAGCAUUUAUCUUUGAGUGCUUCUAGGCUUUUGCUACCAGAAUCAACCUAAUUUACACCACUGCCACUAAGUGUUUGGGCUUGUCCAUGGUAAUGUGUGCACCAAACAAUGCAGGAGAAUCCAGCAGGUGGUAGAGAGGGCACUGCCAGCUCCAGCCUUGGUUCUUUGUAGAUGAUGUGGACUGACAAGUAAACUGUGACUGUCAUACUCCUCUCACCUUCUAAGGAUACAAACAUCAAGAAAGGUCAGUCCUCAGAUCUGCCUAUUAUCCUGUAUCUGCUUGUUAUGAGUACAUGCCUUCCUGAAAGCCAGAUUGCCUGAGUUCACGCCCUGCUCUGCCACUACCGUAUGACGUAAGUCAAGCUGCUCAACUGCUGUGUCUCCUCACCUAAAAAAUAGGGUCAUGAUAAUACUUAGUUCAUAGGGUUCUAGAGAUAAUUAACAUGUGCAGUGUGUGUUAGGUACUAUUUUUAAGCCCCUUGGCAUGCACAGAUUCUCAGAUCGUCAACCUUGCAGUUACAAAGCACAGAAUAUUUGGCUAAUUGUCUAGUGCACUUCUCAUUUGUAAAGAAAAGAAAACUAAAAUCCAGAGACAAGACAGGCCUUCCCCCAAAGUCAAAUGGUGAUCACGAAUAGAGCAAGUACCAGCAUUUGAGCUCCCUGCCCUCUGAGUCAACUUUUAAGCGGGCCGUUGUUAUUGGGCAAUGAGAUCAUUCUAUAGAGUAAAUUGGCCAUUUUCUAGAUUAGCUAGUCUUGCUUGCUUAGGCUUUCUAAAUGGGCAUAAGGUCGAGGAUUUUGUAGUUUAAAACCAUAAUGCCGGAGUCUGAGUUGUGUGAACUCAGAAGUACACUGGUUUCAGAGGGCAAAAUUACAAAUAGCCAGCGGCAGGAGUGCCCAUCCUUCCAGGGCCGCCAGACCUUGGUGCUAAGUGCUGGGUGAACACUGACUGAAGGAGGCUGCGCAGGAGGGGGUGGAAGUGGUUUUGCCAUCUGGAGCUGAGGAAAAAAAAGACCUAUGGUUCAUGUACAUAUUCGGUAUGGCAGCAUGGUAAUGAAAUUGGCUUCGUCGGCCAGGCAGGAAAGUGGGUGCCUUUAUAUUAUAGUUGUGCCUCACAUAUUAUCUACACAAAUCCCCACCAUCCAUCCCCCAAGAUCAUGACUGACUGUGCCAGCCACAGCAGGCAUUAUGGCCCUUUUUACUACCUCUUCCUCCUUCCCCCAUUUGUGGACCCUCAAAAUUCAUUUCAAUAUGAUUAAUCCUCAGUACAAAGAUUGGGGUAGGGCGCAGUGUGAACUGCCAUGAUGGAAAGGAAAGAAUUAAAAACAACACUUAGAAUAAAACCAGUCCACGGGCCCAAGUUGUAAGUGGAGGAAGAGUUACGCUUGCUUGGAGGCCACCGGCAGCCUUGCUGGUGUGGUGUCCUGGAGCCAGCGACACACAGCCCCCAGGACAGGGGAGACUUCCUUUCCCAGUCCGCAGGGCCCAUCAUUCCUUUAUUUCUGUUGCACCGAGACCGUUUCUUCAUGUCCUUGAAGGCUGGGGCUACCUCUUACUCUUUAUCUCUUGGGUUCUCAGGAACUGGCCGUUACCAGAUUUUGUGAGUUAAUUAAUUGUUUAUGCCUCACUGAGUCCUGGCAUGUUGGGAAAUAAGUGGCAUUUUCUUCUAGACUUGAACCUGUUGACGUUUUGAGCCUAGGGCAGCCCUGGUAUUGAUACCGGGAAGAGACACCUGGGAGUUCCUCCCUCGGAGGUCCCGACAUCCUUGGGUUGACCUCACACCUCUUUUCCUUCAAACCAGGCUGUUGCUGCUGAAAUUGAGCCUUGGUAUGAGAAUGAAUAGCCUGAGAAAGCCUAGCAGGAUAUGCACUCCUCUGCCCAGUGGCCUGAAUACAUUUGUUGGGAAUAAAGUAGAAGAGGGACAGGAAAGCACUAGCCAAUACAGCUUAGAUUACAAGGGAAAUGAAGAGCAGUGCUGAGGAAGAAGCUCCUGCAAUGCCUCCCAGUUGCCUCCCUUCCUCAGCUUCACUGUCACUGCUCAGUCUCUCCAGGACUUGUCUGAGGAGUCCAGCUAAGAAAAACACCCACAGAGAGGACGGAAGUUGGAGAAACAGCAGCAGCAGAGAUGGUGUUUAUUGGUAUAAAGUUUCCAGCACUUCAUCUCACUUUUCAGAGGCCCCAUCAUUUUCUCAACUUAAUUGUCAUUCUUUUGAGUGAUUCUAACACAAACUUAGUUUCCCCUUCCACUCCCUCACACUCUCCUCUUUAUUCCUUUUUUCCUUCUCUUCCUUUUUGUGGUUAAGGAGCAGUGGACAGACAUAUCUACUCCAUGGUCUUCCAAGUCUGAAAACCUCCCAUUCUCCCCUCCUCUCACAUUUACUAGAGACUCUGCUGUUUGCUUUCCCUUCGGAGAGGGGAAGUGGCCCCAGGAACCCACUCCCUGAAGGGGCUGUGUUUAUGCAACUAGUGCCCACAUGUUUCAGGCUGUGGCUCCCACUGAUUCAGCUCUGGGGACUCAGCACGCAGCAACAAAAACUGGGGAGUUUGAGAUCCCUGGAGAGUUGGAAA